rnacentral:rRNA from 1 species
UACGGGGGGGGGCAAGCGUUGUUCGGAAUUACUGGGCGUAAAGGGCUCGUAGGCGGCCAACUAAGUCGGAUGUGAAAUCCCCAGGCUCAACCUGGGAACUGCAUCCGAUACUGGAUGGCUUGAAUUCGGGAGAGGGAUGCAGAAUUCCAGGUGUAGCGGUGAAAUGCGUAGAUAUCUGGAGGAAUACCGGUGGCGAAAGCGGCGCACUGGACCACAACUGACGCUGAGGCGCGAAAGCUAGGGGAGCAAACAGG